AAAAAAAAGAUCGGAUGAAAGAUGAGCAACAUGCAAUUAAUGUUCUGAUUCUUUCAAGAUGUUGCCUAUAGGCACAUUUAACCCAUGUCCCACAAUCAGUGUUUACAGGUAGGCCUAACUGGAAUCUGAGCCUGUGCAUUGAAUAACCCGAAAAGCAAACACAUGCAUUACUGUCAACAUGCAGUAGCACUGAGCACUACAAAGAAGUUGCUUAUUUGGAUACAAAGACCAAUCCUAAGCCAGCUUUUGUUUCAGUUGGAAAUUGCCCGCUCAAAUUAACGCUUUCACAAACAAUGCAUCAUUUGGGUCAUCAUUUCGCUGUGUGAUACGAUCAGGGAAGCAAGUCUGAAGUUCUUCUACUGAAAGCCUGUAUCUUUUGCCUGUUUUCUAGAAUCAGUCGAACCAUAUCGAAAAAUUCAAAUUAUCUACAGAGAUGGGUCGUCUACAGAAUAAAGAAAUAUCGUAUAUGCCGAUCAUUGAAAAUGGGUUCGCAAAAACGUCUAACUCAUCGAUUAAAUUUGGGAAUGGCAAGAAGAAGCAUACCAAUCAUCUAUAGACGAUAGAGGUCUGGGAGGAAGAGAAGUUAAGCAUUCUAGAAGCAAUGACAUAAGCAGUGGACCCAUCCUUGGCAACAACAUGACUUCUUCAGCAUGUUCAUGGAAAUUUAAUGAUCUCUUUGUGUCACCAGAACUGAGUCACAGAAUCCCUUACACCUCCAGACGGACACGGAACACAAUCCUCACAAUCACCAAAUCGCUCGACCUUCUGUCAGAGGCCACGAUGUCGAUCUGUUCGUUUUAUAUCGUCUAUUUUCAAUAUCCCACUUGCCUAAGUAAGACUCUCAUAUUUAUGCAAAGAUCUUAUUAGAUAUUCAGGAUGGAGACAACAGUCCACGGCCCAUAUUUACAUUAACAAUAAAUCAAACAUGCAGUGAGUUAAGAUAAUUAACCUUCUAUAUCUAUUUGUGUUAAUUCUUUAUUGCUGAAAUCUAGUAUAAUCAAACACUCUAGUGUCCUAAUAAUUUUGGUUAAGGUUUAUUCCAUACAAUAAUAAUAAUUUAAGAUAAAUCUGAUAUUCCAAACAAUAUCAGAUUUAUUUUAAAUCUGUAUUAUAAAAUGUUGGUUUUCACAAAUUCAAAUCUAAAUAGUGUUUUCUUAAUCAGACGCCAAGUUUAUUGUGGGAUGCUCUGGGUAUAUGACUAAGUUUGAAAAGGUUUCCUUUUGCGUAAUAAACAAAUGCAAAUGUUUGUGUUAUGACAUUACAGAGCAAAACAUUAGUUCUUUUUUAUUUAUUUGGACAGCAACAGUUUGUACAUACCAAAUUCUGUAAUUUGUAUUAUCUACAUUUUAUCACCCUUUUCACAAAGGAAUUCAUCUGACUAUUAAUUUGUAUUAUGUAUUUUUUCAUAAUUCUGUCACUCGAGUACAAAACCAAAAUUGUCCUUCUAUACCUUGAAUUUGUAUCAAAAUUAUUUUGUUGAUAUUUUCAUGAGGAGCAUGAUAACAUACUGCAAUGUACAAAACUCUUCAUGUUUACAGAAACACAUCGAACAAAAGUAAGCAAGUAAACUUCCAGAAAUAAUAAAGUUUUCAUAUGUAUAUUUUCAUAUUUGAAGUCCUUCAAUUGAAUAUCAACCUUUGAGUCAUUUUCCUACUGCCAUAUUUUUCAACAAAAUAUACAUAUUCCCUGUAUCGAGACUGAAAUCUAAUUAAUGAUUAUAAUUACAACUUUACAAAUUUUAUUUGAUUUUUUAUUCGAAUUCAUUUUGAUUUACUUUUUUUUGCAAUGAUUGUAUUUAAUGUAUAUAAAUAUGCAAUAUUUUUAACGCUUUUCUAAUGUUUUCAAGUUUACGCCUGUCUAGAGUGGGGAUUCCACUAAUGUACAUGCAAACUAUGCUCGGUGUAUUGAUUUUGAAUAUUUAGUAUUUAAUACUUUAUUUAUUUCUUUCCUCUGUUACGUUUUACCGUGUUUUUUUAAUCUACGAUUAAUUCUACAAUAUGUACAUUUUAUUUUACUUUCUUUUGCUAUAUAUUUUGUAAAGAUUUUUUCAAUCUCAUUAUUUAAAUUGAAAGAAAGAAUUUGAAUAUGAUGGUUUACAUAACCUUGUUAAAAGAAAAAAAAAUCGUCAAAUAAUCGUAGUAUGUAGUGCGCAUUAAACUGCACGUCCUAAUAAUAUAUGUUUAAAUCUAGAAGGAACAUCUUCAUUUGGAAAAGUAAAUAGGUUAGAUUUUGCAUAUAUGUUUGGAAGUUUAAUUUCAUUGGCAGUCAGAUGAUAUGGGGUUGAUAUUAUUUUCUUGUGAACAAAUAACAAAUUCAAAAGAAUUUAUUGUAAAGAAUGCAUUGAUUAAUUAAUACUGUCAAGGAGGUAUUUUUUCUACUUUAAUAGUGAGAAAUAAUUUGUCUAAAAUAUGGUAUAUGCUCUAGCCCAUCUGGAUGCCAUUAUUUUGAUGAUGUGAUAUUACUUUAAUGUCUUGGAAAUAUAUGAUAUUUGGAUAAUAAAACUGUAUUGUUACUGUAAAUAAAUUUACAAAUUUUCUUGA
rnacentral:lncRNA from 1 species